AACCUUCUUCUCGCUCCUCCACUCUCUCUCUCUCUCUAGGUUCUCCACUUCGUGCAAGCAUGAAGCAUGAAGCUUAGCAAGCUCAUGCUGGAUCAGGAGAUGUGAAUUCUCACCAUGGAUGGGUGCCCAUGAUCAUCCUGAGCUCCAGGAGGAGGAGGAGGAGGAAGAAGUGAACAGUAGUGACUAGCUACUUGAUCUUGUAGCUGAUCAAGCUAUGGUGGGAAGCAGAGGAGGAGAUGUAGGGGUGGUAGCACUGGUGGUGGUGGU
rnacentral:lncRNA from 1 species